UUUUUUUUUUUUUUAACCUCACAUUUUGGACAGAAAGCACUUGUGUUCCUUGAGAAACCUUCCUCCAGACAAACUGAGGACACUGAAGCAACUCGGGAAGCCCAGCUGCUCCAACAGCUCUGUCUUGAUUUUGGACGCGGAGGAAACACAACCCUUUCCUCCAUCAGCUCCUUCCUCACCUGCCAGGAUGAUGGAUGCUAAUCAGCUGCCUUCUUCAGCUAAUUAGUCAGGUAUCCCAUGCUUUACUCUGACUUCCUCGUAAGCCAAGCAACCUUGGUAACCCACUGAUACUUCAGGGGCGUGUCUGAGUCCUGGAAAUCUCAGUUCCUACCACAUCUUAUCUAUGUGCUGAAGGAAAAUUGCGUUGCUGCCGUUGUACUGCAGCACGGUGCAUGUUAGAGAACUCGUAAUUGUAUAACUGCAGGGAAAAGGAGUGACUUUAAAGCUACCUGUGAUAGUAAAAGGGUUUUUAAAUCAUGGGGAUUCAGGGUUAAAAGGAAAAUUAAGCUUAGUAGGCCCUGAAAAGAAAAAUAAAUACCCUAGGUACAUGAAGACCUUGUACCUUGCUAUAACUGCACCUGUGUAGCUAGUACAUGAUAAAUGAUAUAAUUGUUAGAUGGGAUGAUUGUUUAGUAAUUAAAUAUAAUUGCUGUUUAAUCAUAAGAAUAAUCAUGAGAAACUGUGGUCAGGGGCCUAAGAAAGAUCACGAGAAACUCAUGUCAAUGUAUACAGUAGAACAACAUGAGUUUAAUAAUUAAUAUGUAAGUUAUAUAAGGAUAGAAUAUAAAAUACGUAGAGCUCAAAAGUCAUGUCGGAGUCAGAUUUGGGUCUGUACCCCUGAUUCCAGAGCUCUUAAUAAAAGAACCUGCAUAAAAUCACAUCCUGUGAUUAUGUGUGUUCCUGAACACUAACACCUGCCAUACAAUACCUUCCUUUAAGUUGGUUCAUGUGUGAAAGCCCCUGUUGCAUCACUGAGAUGCCCUGGAAUAGUGCCAGAGCGUGUGGCUGGGUGCCUGAUGAGGCAGCUCUGGCUGUGGAUCACAGGCUCCAUCCAUAGCUGCAGGCAGAACUCCUCCCAGACAGAUUAGUACAAAUUCAUGUGUGCAUCCAGCAAUCCUGCUGGCAUUUCUCCUUCCCCUCGCACACACAUCCUCCCAGCCGCUGGAACGGGGCUCACAGAGAUUGCAUCUAGGAGAGCUCCACAGAACAGCUCAUUUCUGAAAUACCUAUCAGCUGUCCAUCACAGCUCAGAUCCAGCUGCAAAUGCUGUUUGCAACAGCUCAGAAACCCUGCAGCUAUUCAGCCUGGGCAGUAAGAGCAAAGAUGACAAGCCCAAAAUGACAGCUCUUAACUCAUUGCCUAAUUCCUUUCCAUGAAAUAAAGCCUUUUCCUCCUUCCCUUGUGAACUAGGUAACAGAUUGCAAAGUUUUCAGAGGAAAAAAAGUGGGAAAUCUCACAUAUGUGUCUUGAAGAUAUGUCUUAGGUGUGCAUAGGAGGAAAGAAACUCACUCAGACUGUUUCUUAAACUCCAGCACAGUUCUGUGCAUCCAGCAGUCAGCUCCUGCUGUCAUUUGUCUGUGCUUUUUCUCUGGGCUUAAGUGAAAGGAUUGCUCAGCUAUAGGUCAUCUUCAAUUUUUAUAAUACCUGUUUUGAUAAUCCAAAUUUUACCACAGGUUAAAAGAAAAACUCCAAUCAUUUUUAAGGCACUUGAGUAGUCUCCCAUUCAUUCCACAACAUAUACAUGUUCCAAUUUCUCAUCUUCUUUGCAGUCCUUUCCUAAUAACCCUUGGCACUGAAGAGGAUUAAGCAACAGAUGAUUUUGCAAAUCAUAUCACACUUGCUAAGCAUUAACUGAAUGCCAUUAAAGGUCCAAGCACCUCAGCUGGACUUGCAGGUAUUUCUCUUCCUGCACAAACAGCACUGAAGAGCUCACAGGAAACAGCAGAAAUGCAAGAGAUGGCUAUGCAAACAAACUUCAGUGUUUUGUCAGGGUUGGUUUUUAGUCCUGCACCUCUCCGUCCCAGGAAUCAGCCAGCCAUAAGAAAUCCUUUUCCUAAAUCACCGUGGGGCGCUGUAAGCUGCCCCAGUAUUGCCCUUUUACCUGGUAUCUUUAGAUAUAUUACAGUCCACUUAGCCAAGGUGUCAUGAGGGAACACAUUUCUGUCCUUUCUUUUAAGAGUGAUAUAUUUGGUGAUCUUUUUCCCCCCUAAACAUUAACAACCAGAAAAAUGGAAAGACAAACAUACCAUCAAGAGAUUUGAACUAUUUCCUCUCUGCUGUGGAAAAGGGUGAAUUAGUUAAAAGGCAAUAAAAAGUGAUGGAUUUUUGGGAGAGCAAAAUUAGCUAUGAUACAUUUUAAAGUACUUUUGAUAUAUUUAUUAAAAGUCAAGAUGUGCUUCAAAAGAAAUCCCAGUACGCUUCCAAAAAACUGCAUGGCUCAAAAAAGAUGCACUUAAGAAAUGAAUCAACACUUUUUUUUUCAAAUUUGCAUUGGGAUUUAUCUGUGUUGUACCAGUAGUAGGGAAGGUUUUGCUGCAGCAUUCUAAUUAGUACAGAUCUUAUCUAAGUUUGAGCACUCUAAAUUCACAACAAUAGAUAAGAUGUGUUUAUGCACAUUUUACAGUAUUUAGAAUAGAAUAGUUUUCCCCUCCCCUGCCUAUACUGCAGUCCCUGUAGGAAAUGUAAAGAAAAUAGGGUGGACAUUGCUGAUGGCAAUGCACCAGUGAGGUGGCAUUCAUUAUCUUCUCCUGCAUAAUUAGAUUUAGGUAUGUCACCUUUUAAAAUAUAGCAUAAGCAGUUGAUUAACUUCUAUUUCCUACUUAUAAGCCCAUAAAGAGACCAAAGGAAAACAGAUGGAGGAGGGAGGGGUGCUGAGGCAGUGAGGCAAGGAAGGGGGAAGGCACAAUUUAAGAAUUGCUUGAGACUGCAGUCGAUUAGGAAAACAAGGUAUGGAAACUCAUACACACACAAACACACUCCUCCUGUUAUUCAAGGCUCAGCACAUCCUCCAGAGGACAGCUUAAUGGCCACUAUCUACCUUGACCAGAUGAAGUCCCUUCUCUUAAUCCCCAUUCCUCCUGAACUUGAAUCCACUGCUAUUUAGGUUUGUCAUAAAAUAUUUCACUAGCUUUGCCAUGCUAUUACCUAAUCAGUGAGUGUAUUAUAUCACAAUAACUUGUAUGUGUUCCCCUUGGCACAGGAGCAGAGGACAGGUAACUCUGCUUUCCUGAACUAGCUGUAAACCCUGGAUUAAUAUAAAGAAAAAACACAACCUUUCUUCCUUAGCAACCCCAAUUUUUUUCUCUUCUUCCCACUAUUUACUCAAUGCCUCACUAACUUUAACAAUGCCUGCAGCAGGCAGAACAAGCCAGUUACCUCUCAGACCCAGCAGGCACAUCUGGGCACAUCUGUGGGGGCUCCCCAGGCUGGGGCAGAGGGAAGCUGGGCACAGGCAGUGCCAGCCCAGCUCUCUGGCUCUGGAACUGCACCACUCACCACACCACUGGCUGCAUGGAGCACCCUGCAGCCUCCAGGAAUGGCCACUGGGCAUCUGGCAGGAUUUAAAGUCUAACCUGCAAAACAGGCAAGGAUCAAAACCUGAAUUAAAUUGAAAACCUGUUAGCGCUCCCAUGGCUGCCACACUCCAGGUACAUAAAUCAUGGCAGGUGUGUGUCGCUGACCUGUAAAGAGUCUGUUUUCUUCAAAGAACAACAGCUUAAGUGAAAACUACCUUGCCAAGAUAUAAUGACCUCCCUUUCCCCAGCCUGAACUGGGGAAAGCUAUUAAAAACUACUAGAAUAUAAAAGGCAAAAUAUUUAUUGCAUGGUUACUUAUACAUGCUACAUAGUCACCUUGAAUAAUAAUAUCGCUCCUACUUUUAGCUGCAUUUUUAAACUUCUAGAAUUUUCUUCAAGCCAAAAGAAAAAAAUAAGAUUAUAUUCCAUUGUAUGCUCAGUGACUGCUAAAAAUCCUGUGAUUUCGAGUUCUGCUAACAUAGAACAUAUUCAGUGUUUUGCUAUUAUGUAUUAAAAGUAUUAAAAGUAAAUGGUAAAGCAAACAGGGCUCUGACUGUUGUGAAUUUUUGGAGGUUUUUGACAGAGAUAGAAAUUACAUAUAUCAGCAAAUAUUCUUCAGUGCUUCACCGAUGCUCCCCCUGAGCA
rnacentral:lncRNA from 1 species